GGCGAUGUCCCCUUAUGUCAUACUGUUUCUUUUCUUAAUUUUUUUCCUUAUUUUAUUUUUGUUUAUUAGUAUUUUUAUUUUAUAAUAUUAGAGUUUAUUUAUUUUGGGGCUUGGGCCCAAACUACUUCGGAUUGUUUGCACACCUCUUUUUUAUUAACUAUGUUAAUUAUUGUUCUAUUUUAUUUUUCCAUUCAUUUAUUUGAUUGAU
rnacentral:lncRNA from 1 species